rnacentral:rRNA from 1 species
UGGGGAAUAUUGCACAAUGGGCGAAAGCCUGAUGCAGCAACGCCGCGUGAGGGAAGACGGUUUUCGGAUUGUAAACCUCUGUUUUCGGUGACGAACAAAUGACGGUAACCGAGUAGGAAGCCACGGCUAACUACGUGCCAGCAGCCGCGGUAAUACGUAGGUGGCAAGCGUUAUCCGGAAUUACUGGGUGUAAAGGGAGCGCAGGCGGAGAAGCAAGUCAGUGGUGAAAACGAUGGGCUUAACCCAUCGACUGCCAUUGAAACUGUUUCCCUUGAGUGAAGUAGAGGCAGGCGGAAUUCCGAGUGUAGCGGUGAAAUGCGUAGAUAUUCGGAGGAACACCAGUGGCGAAGGCGGCCUGCUGGGCUUUAACUGACGCUGAGGCUCGAAAGUGUGGGGAGCAAACAGGAUUAGAUACCCUGGUAGU